GUCCUUACAAGAGCCUUUUCUAAAUGUAAACAGUUUAGUAGUAGAAGACUUUGGACUCUGCUUUCUCUAAAUUGUUUUAGUGACAAGUGACGUUGUGUUUACAUCUCUACCUCAUGAAUUUAUCGUUGCUUUUUAUUCCCUGUUGACUUUCUUAUUCCUCUAAACUGCCGUCUGUAAACCAAAUUGUCCCUUGAAGCUCUAUGAGGGCAAACCAAAGUGUUAAACAGACCUACCUUUG